rnacentral:lncRNA from 1 species
CCAGUCCCGAAUUCCCGUUAUUUUUCGAUUUCUCGGUUGUCAAACCUACUUAAACUUAAUAUGCCGUAAAUCUAAAUUGGCUUAUCUACACAAUGGUAUAUGACACGACUAUCAUUGUUGUCGGGAUCAUUAGUAGCAGGUCUCAGAAGUCGGUCAACGGGAUUUUUUUUGCAUUCGUCUCAAACUUUGGCAACACCCAGCCCGCAGUGAUUGAAUUAUUAUAAAAAUUAUUAAAAUAAAAACUGUCAGCUUCCCUCUGACUAUAAAUUAUUAUCUUUAUUGUAAAUUCUUUACAGAUUAUGUGAAACAAACC